AGCAGUCGCCACGGUAAUACGGAGGGAGCUAGCGUUGUUCGGAAUUACUGGGCGUAAAGCGCGCGUAGGCGGUUACUCAAGUCAGAGGUGAAAGCCCGGGGCUCAACCCCGGAACUGCCUUUGAAACUAGGUGACUAGAAUCUUGGAGAGGUCAGUGGAAUUCCGAGUGUAGAGGUGAAAUUCGUAGAUAUUCGGAAGAACACCAGUGGCGAAGGCGACUGACUGGACAAGUAUUGACGCUGAGGUGCGAAAGCGUGGGGAGCAAACAGGAUUAGAUACCCCCGUAGUCCCUGUCUCUUAUAC
rnacentral:rRNA from 1 species